rnacentral:rRNA from 1 species
CCUACGGGCGGCUGCAGUGGGGAAUAUUGGACAAUGGGGGCAACCCUGAUCCAGCCAUGCCGCGGGUGUGAAGAAGGCCCUCGGGUUGUAAAGCACUUUCAGUGAGGAAGAACGCCUGGUGGUUAAUACCCAUCAGGAAAGACAUCACUCACAGAAGAAGCACCGGCUAACUCCGUGCCAGCAGCCGCGGUAAUACGGAGGGUGCGAGCGUUAAUCGGAAUUACUGGGCGUAAAGCGCGCGUAGGUGGCUUGAUAAGCCGGUUGUGAAAGCCCCGGGCUCAACCUGGGAACGGCAUCCGGAACUGUCAAGCUAGAGUGCAGGAGAGGAAGGUAGAAUUCCCGGUGUAGAGGUGAAAUGCGUAGAGAUCGGGAGGAAUACCAGUGGCGAAGGCGGCCUUCUGGACUGACACUGACACUGAGGUGCGAAAGCGUGGGUAGCAAACAGGAUUAGAUACCCCUGUAGUC